AUCACUUAGAAAGAAAAUGAAAUGAAUGAAAUCUGUGCUUUGCGAUCCUCGCAGGGCUAAUGAGAGGCUGGCAGCAGUGAGCACUGAGCUUCAGCUGGAGAAGCAGCACAAGAGUUCUCUCCUCGGCUCUGUUCCCACAAGGCCUGUUGACGGACCGCCUUCUGAUGAAAGUUCUAGUAGUAGCGUAGAGACCGAAAGGAGUCUUACUCGAAGAAGGAACUUCAGGAAUUUUUCAGAUCCUUCAACUAGCAUAAGCGAUCUGUUCAGGCUACUACUGAACUUGAAUCUUAAGUCCUACAGAGUCUCUCGUAGCCUUGAUGGAUGAGUCAAGUCCAAGUCCAGAUCUGGAUUCAAAAGCACGUGAAGAAUAUGUGGAGAUUUGGAAGAAUAAGUGUAUGAUCUGCAAGAUAAAUAGUAAACAUUUACCUGCUGGGCUGUUUGCCUAACAUUGUAUUUACUUCCCGUUAUGUAAGAUACUGGCACUGUUUAUUAAGGGAAAAUACUCUUGCAUUCUGUGUGCGUGAUUAAAUUUGAUGUAGUAUUUUAAACCA